AUUGAACGCUGGCGGCAGGCCUAACACAUGCAAGUCGAGCGGAUGAAGGGAGCUUGCUCCUGGAUUCAGCGGCGGACGGGUGAGUAAUGCCUAGGAAUCUGCCUGGUAGUGGGGGAUAACGUCCGGAAACGGGCGCUAAUACCGCAUACGUCCUGAGGGAGAAAGUGGGGGAUCUUCGGACCUCACGCUAUCAGAUGAGCCUAGGUCGGAUUAGCUAGUUGGUGGGGUAAAGGCCUACCAAGGCGACGAUCCGUAACUGGUCUGAGAGGAUGAUCAGUCACACGGGAACUGAGAAAGGGUCCAGCCCCGUACGGGGGGAGGCAGGGGGAAAUUUUGGACAAGGGGCAAAAGCUUGAUACAGCCGGGCGGCGUGUGGGAAGAGGGUCUUUGAAUUGUAAAACUUUUUAAGUGGGGGGGAAGGGAAGUAAGUUAAUACCUUCUUGUUUGGACUUUCCAAAAAAAAAAACCCCGGGCAAUCUUCGUC
rnacentral:rRNA from 1 species